AUUGAACGCUGGCGGCAUGCCUUACACAUGCAAGUCGAACGGCAGCACGGGGCAACCUGGUGGCGAGUGGCGAACGGGUGAGUAAUGCAUCGGAACGUACCUUUCAGUGGGGGAUAACGUAGCGAAAGUUACGCUAAUACCGCAUAUUCUGUGAGCAGGAAAGCAGGGGAUCGCAAGACCUUGCGCUGAUUGAGCGGCCGAGGUCAGAUGCGCUAGUUGGUGAGGUAAAGGCUCUCCAAGGCGACGAUCUGUCGCGGGUCUGAGAGGAUGAUCCGCCACACUGGAACUGAGACACGGUCCAGACUCCUACGGGAGGCAGCAGUGGGGAAUGUUGGACGAUGGGGGCGACCCUGAUCCAGCCAUGCCGCGUGAGUGAAGAAGGCCUUCGGGUUGGAAAGCUCUUGCGGCCGGGAAGAAAUCGCACGGGCUAAUACCCUGUGUGGAUGACGGUACCGGAAUAAGAAGCACCGGCUAACUACGUGCCAGCCGCCGCAGUAA
rnacentral:rRNA from 1 species